GACGAACGCUGGCGGCGUGCUUAACACAUGCAAGUCGAACGGAAAGACCCUGCUUUUGUGGGGUGCUCGAGUGGCGAACGGGUGAGUAACACGUGAGUAACCUGCCCUUGACUUUGGGAUAACUUCAGGAAACUGGGGCUAAUACCGGAUAGGAGCUCCUGCUGCAUGGUGGGGGUUGGAAAGUUUCGGCGGUUGGGGAUGGACUCGCGGCUUAUCAGCUUGUUGGUGGGGUAGUGGCUUACCAAGGCUUUGACGGGUAGCCGGCCUGAGAGGGUGACCGGCCACAUUGGGAAUGAGAUACGGCCCAGACUCCUACGGGAGGCAGCAGUGGGGAAUAUUGCACAAUGGGCGGAAGCCUGAUGCAGCAACGCCGCGUGCGGGAUGACGGCCUUCGGGUUGUAAACCGCUUUCGCCUGUGACGAAGCGUGGGUGACGGUAAUGGGUAAAGAAGCACCGGCUAACUACGUG
rnacentral:rRNA from 1 species